rnacentral:rRNA from 1 species
UACGUAGGGCGCAAGCGUUGUCCGGAAUUAUUGGGCGUAAAGAGCUCGUAGGCGGCUUGUCACGUCGGGUGUGAAAGCCCGGGGCUUAACCUCGGGUCUGCAUUCGAUACGGGCUAGCUAGAGUGUGGUAGGGGAGAUCGGAAUUCCUGGUGUAGCGGUGAAAUGCGCAGAUAUCAGGAGGAACACCGGUGGCGAAGGCGGAUCUCUGGGCCAUUACUGACGCUGAGGAGCGAAAGCGUGGGGAGCGAACAGG